UUCCCCUUUCUCGAACCCUAGAACUCUGUUCUCUCUCUCGAACUCUCUUGCUUUCAAACCCUCUUCUCUGUGGAGUCAUCUUCAUCAAUCCUUCAUCAACCAUUCAUUCACCUCUCCUCUCCAACCUUCAGUCAAGGCUCUCGUGUCGAACAUUCGUCUCAAACCUUCAGUCACCUCCCCUCUGGAUCAUCUCUUCUCUGCAACUAUUCAGGAAAUCAAAUUAAACAUUUUGGAGGGUGAUUCUCCCUCUUCGAGUGACAUAAGCCAGAGCACUUAGAAACCUUUAGAAGCGUUUAGAACCCUUCUUCUCCGCAACCCUAGUGUGCACAUCUCUUCCUUCACAGAGGGUCGGCUAGUGAGAGUGCUUCUUCGUUCAGUGCGUGUGACCUAUCGGAGUCCUGCUACCGUUGUGGAUGGUCGUCCAUUCCGCCAUCAUUCUCGGCCAGUGAAAAACUCCCAAACCCGCCUUGCACUGGCGAGAGCCUUAAUGGGUCUCAAAGCCAGUCGUUCGAAAAAAAGUUCGUGCGUGAAACCCGCUGCUGAGGAGGUCGAGCACGUGGUAGCACUAAUGCUUCUCCCGUGAAGGUUAAAGAAAGUGCUUUGAUUCCUAAAGCCAAGAAAAGAGGUCAUUUCCUUUCCAUUAAUUCCACACUGCCCCCUUCUUCUUUCACGUAUCAAGUCUCUCAUUUCUCCAAUAAUAUAGUGCUUUCCAUGUCACAAAGGGUCCUCCACUUAUUGUUUUCAGCCGUGUGUUUUUGUCUCCUCCCAUGUGCACUUUUGAAUUUAAAAAACAAAUGAAUGCCCAUCAUUCACGUGCUGCACCUCCACUUCUAUAUAUAUUUUUUAUUGAGUCAUAUGAAGUGUCGUGUGCUUGCUGCACAAUCCAUAUUCUUUCUCACUUU